rnacentral:lncRNA from 1 species
CGGAGGAAAUGGCAUCUGAAACCUCAGUGGAUUAUGACAGAACUAAAAAGUUGAAGGAAUUUGAUGACACAAAAGCUGGUGUUAAAGGACUUGUAGAUGCUGGCAUAGUUAGCAUCCCCAAGAUGUUCAUACGACCAGCUGAGGAGCUUGCUGUUGAGGAACUGAAUUCCUGCCAGACAAACAUUAAAGUUCCGAUCAUAGAUCUAAGCAACAUCCAAGACGAUAGCCGGCGUAAGGAGAUUGUAGAUGAAGUUACGAUUGCAUCAGCAGAGUGGGGUUUUCCAAGUAAUUAAUCAUGGUAUCCCUUGAAGUUUGUUGGAUGAGAUGAUUGAUGGGGUACGUACGUUCAAUGAGCAGGAUUUGGUGUUGAAGAAAGAAUUCUAUACCCGUGAGGCCACAAAGAAAGUGAGAUUCAACUCCAACUUUGAUCUAUAUACAUCACUAGCUGCUGAUUGGAGAGACACUCUGACCCUUUCUUUCCUUGAUUCUGACCCUGACACCGAAGAAAUGCCAGCAUUUUGCAGGUAACAAUGCACUAAUCUAGUUUCUUAGUUUUUUAUCUGCUUGUCAGUCAAAUCUUUUUGUUAUCAUGGUAAUAUAUAUAUAUAUAUAUAGGAGCAUAUAUCAGUAAAUAAAUUCCCCAGUAUCUCUCAAAUCAAGGCUACAGUUAUGCUGUUCAAGUAUUAUUGAAAUUGGUAUAUCGAAUCCAUCUCAUUUGUUCUGGGGCAUCUACAUAUAUGUUUCUGGUUCUGGUCGUUUAAAUUUGCAGAAAAUCAACAUUAGAGUAUACUAAGUAUAUCAGAAGGUUAGGUGAAACUUUGUUUCAGUUGCUAUUAGAGGCUCUUGGUCUUCAAGAAGACUACCUCAGCUCAAUCGGAUGUGCUAAAGGGUGUAGCAUUGUGUGCCACUACUAUCCAGCUUGCCCCCAACCGGAACUGACUUUGGGGGUUAAGGGAGCAUGCAGAUCCAGGGAUAUUGACUCUGCUUCUGCAGAACGAAAUCAGCGGCCUCCAAGUCCUUCAUGAGGGACAAUGGUUUGAUGUUCAACCCACUUGAGGAGGCUUGGUCGUGAAUAUCGGAGAUCUUCUUCAGGUUUGCUUCAGAUACAUCUGCUUUCAUGAACUUUCCUUUCCGAAUAUCGAAUAACUUUUAUGCUGUAUGGUAGAUUAUAUCAAAUGACAAGCUGAAGAGUGUCAAGCAUAGAGUAACUGCCAAUCAUGUGGACCUAGAAUUUCUGUGCCAUGCUUUUUCUCAGGACAUGCUAGUUUACUUGACAAGCCGUUCGGCCCAAUCAAAGAGUUGAUAUCAGAGGCAAAUCCUCCUCGAUACAAAGAAGUCCGGCUAAGGGAAUAUAUCGCCAGAUUUUUAUCUAGCUCACUUGAUCACAAGCCUCCUAUAGAUUACUACAAGCUAUAAAUAUAGAUUCCCAAAAGCUAUGAAGCUAACUAUCAAAGCCAUGCAAUGAUAUUUCCAAUGGCAUUCCGAUCCAGAAGAGGGUUAAGCAUUUCAGCUUUUGUACUUUGCUAGCUUCCAUUAGUUUGUGUUGGUCAUGUCAACAUUACUUCGUUCUGUGACACCCCUUAUAUUUGCCCAAUAAAAUGCCAAGAACUGAAGAAAACUUCCAUCCACCCACCCCACCUGGACUUUGGGAAACUUCAGCUCUAAUUUACUCUUCAACUAUACAACCGGAAAAAAGCCUCUUAGAAAAUUACAAAAGGAACUAAUUACUUUACAAUCCAAUUAUAGUUCAAAAGCUGACGGAAAAGUGUGAAAUGUGGAUGGUUCUUCCAUGUACAAGGCUCAUAAUAUAUGCUUGCAUGAAUUUAUAGUGGAGUCUAUGACUAAUGAUUAGUAGUAACAAUUUGAUGGGGGGUUUAUCACAAUACCAUGAAUUGCUCCUCUUUGACCUAAAGAGUUCCUGUUGGUAUCUGUGAGAAAAGCCAUUGGUUGAGAACUAGGAGGUAGUGGAAUCUCAUAAGGGUGGCCUGAAAUGCAGAGUGUGCCAGAAUCAUCUUGCUUCCAAUAGAUUUCAACCAUGACACCUCUAUGAUUCUUGGCUGACUCUGUUCUCGGUAUUUCCGCAAACCUUGCACCUACUGGUAUCGGCCAUUAUAAUUUUUUAGCUCAAAACAUCUAUGAUCAAAUGAUUGCACUAACUUGAGGGGAACCUCCAGAUAUUACUGUCAGAGUGACAAGUCUUCUUUCAGCUCUAGCAUUUUCUAGCUCUGCCUGCCUAGCAAUAUCCAAGAAAACUUCUUCAAGGUUAGUAAGGCCAAGUUGAAUAUCUGCUAUACCAAACAAAUUCGAGGAGAAAGUUUAUUCCAUAACGGGUUAAUUCUGCAUGUCAAGAGCUUUUCUCUAUCAUGAGAAUGACAAAAGACAGGAAAGCUUUAUUCUCCGCCUGUGGUACUACAUCUAGAGACAAGCCACAUGAGAAACCAACUCUUUGAAAUUUGAGAAAUCUUUAACCAGGUGAAACUAUCCAACAGACAUUUCUAAAGAACUGGUUCAAAUCCGCAUGAUGGUAACUUGCAGCAACAACAUCUCGAUUUGGAGGACCCAUUCCAUUUUUGCUUCCAAGGAAGCUAAUGUUGGCAAAAUCGUGACUUCAACCUGAUUGAGGUUCCAAUGCAGCGGAGCCUACCCUUUGCCACGAUUGCUAUGUGGUCACUUAUAAACAUCAGAUUCUUCCAUAGAGUGUGUUGUUCAGAUAAUGACACGGCCUUUCUUUGCCUCCUCUAUUAUGUCCCGUGCAUGCCUUCUUGUUAGUGGACCCAUACCAGAAGUCUGCAGUUAACAAAAAAAGAUUAAUAUACAGCUCUGUAAGAAACCAAGGCACUUAGAUAAACAUAUUUAGCACAUUAACAUGAUGAAAGAGAUUCUUAUUGGCAUCCAGAAUGACUAAAUUUGGAUCAUCUAUAAUGGAUACUGCAACACUUAGCGGGUGCCUCAUUCCUCCACUGCAACUCUCAGCUCUUACUUGCGAAGCCUCAAUUAGUCUGAGAUCAGCCAAUUACACUUCUGAACUACCUGGUAUUUGAGCUAAAUAAUACUUACAGGUAAGAAAGUUCAGUGUCUUUUUGACUAAUUAUUUUACGAAGAAUGCAGCUAACCAUCUAUAUGCUAUAGCAUGACAACCAUUGAAUAUUAGGUCAAUAACAACGUUCGUUCACAGAUAAACAUCUAAAAGUAACCAAAUGCAUUUGGAUUUACAUCAUCCAAGUAGAUAGCUAAAAUAAUUCCCAGGAAAAAAUUAGCCACCAGCCAUUUGUAGAUGUGAUUCUGCCAAGACCAUGAGAAAUAAAAAAAUUACAGAAACGAUGAAAUAAUUGAACAAUUCAGAGAAAAUAAAAAUGAAACGAGAUGAUUCAGCAUUGUGAAGGAACUCCUAGAUUCUAACCUCAAAUAUGAAUAUUCAAGUUUCAAGGGGCGGCCUUAUAGAAGGAUUAGUUUAUCUUUACUGGCGUUGGGUUGGGUUUAAAGCUUGGAGAUUACAGGAACUUUUGUCUGAUCCAGGAACAUUAAUCUUUUGUCUAAUUCUAGGAUCAAAGUGAAUUCGGGACUUUGUUUUUGUUUUUAUUUCUUAUUGGAUGAUUACAUUUGUCCUGAGUUAUAAUUUUUAUAACUUUAGAAAUGGAUUAUAGAAUUAGAACUAAAUUUUGGAAAUAGCAAAAACAACAAUGAAAUGAAAUCUAAAAAAAAGUGUUUUUUAUCAUAAUUAAGAAAAAAAUUACUGCAUUAAAUUGUGCCAUCUAUAAGUACAAUUAAAAUUGUUGCUAAUUAAGAAUUGGUGAUCAGAUCAUAUAUGUCAUUUAAAAAUGAUUGGAGAGUAAUUUAUGAAAAAAUCUUUCCGAUACUUUACACCCAUCUCUUUACACACAAAUACAAAAAUCACUUUACUACUGCUUAAUGAAAUCCUAGAAACUUCUAACUCUCUUAAGAAAGCUGAAGCCGCUCCAUUAAGCCCUCAUUUUCUUCCAAGACCAUAAAAAAAGAAAAAAAAGAAACACCAAAUACUCUCUGAGCUUCAACUGCAGAAUAGCCGUUGAAUACGAAUGAAUGACGCAACUUUCCACAAACCUGAUAAAAUCUUAGAAUUCUUUAAAGUUAUCGCUCCAUUUUCUUUCUCUCAAAAUUUUAAACUCUUUAAAAAAUAUAUAUGAAUGCAUGUUUAAAUUCAAAUGUCUAAUGUGAUAUUUGGAUCAUAUUAUUGGCAAGUCUCAUAUUUUUGUCCAGUCAUUUCCUUGGGUUUUUUUCUUAACACAUUUUUUGAAAGAGGAAUAUAAAUCGACAUCUCUGAUGUAACGUUAAAACUCUUAUUAGUCUUUAUCUUUUAAAUAUCACCCUAUAAAGAAGCUACCCAAGUUGCAUUUCAUUUGAAACAAAAGAGGCAAACAAUACUGAUUCAUCGAACUUAGCAUCUGUUGAACACCUAUUUUCUUUGUCGCUAUUGCAUUUGCAAAAUUAAAGGUAUUUCACAUUUGUAAGGAUUUGAUGUGAUUUUCAAGUAUUUAUAAAUGAAUGAAGACGCGUGCAAGAAACGUUUAGAAAUAAAUAAACAUGCAUGUCUGACUUUAUAUAUGAAACGUAAAACACUUGAAAUUAUUUUUUACAGUCACAUAAUAAAAUUGAACCAAACUUUUAACGUCGAUCAAGAAUGUUUGUUAGCAGUUACAUGCCAGAUAUUGAGACUCUAAGGACUACCUACCUUAGAGUUUUGGUUGUUUUUAUGACACAACUACUACUUUACUAACAACUGUUAACAUACAGAGGAAAAGAGGUAACACCUUACUUUCCAAUAUUAAAAUCUAUUAUGACCUCAUACAAACAAUUAAAGUUGGAUUUUUUUCUCCAUAGAGAAUCAAGCAAUCAACCAGUAGUAACAACCUCUUGAAGUUAUUGAAAUCGAAUAUUCAAGUUCAGAUUUAAACAAUAAACUUUCCCUUUUUCAACACACAAUGAGUGCAACCAAUGUCCGAGACAAUGUUAGUCGUCGGAGACAAUAUUAGUCAAUGAGAUAUUAUGAAAUGAUUUUAUAUUUUAUAUAAUUCGUAUUUGGAUAUAUAAAAAUGUAUUAUUAAUUGGAUUAAAAAUAUGAAUUUUACUUAAUAAAUUAUUUUAUUGAAGAAUUUUAGAAUGAUUACAAAAGAAAACUUUGUAUUAUUUUUAAGUUUUAAUUUAAAAUAAUAUGAUUGUAUUACGUAUUAAUCUCGGGGCAUAACAUAUUCCUACAACAUUUUCUAAAUGCUUCCUUCCAACUAGUUAAAUGGAUCUUACUCUUUCGAUACAAAAACAAUAAACAAAAUUCUUUAUUUGAAACACUCAUACAAGCAUUUAUUCACUACAUUCAUUCUAGCAAAACCAAAUCUUUAUCAGUUGACUGGUGCCGUUUCGCUAUUGAUAAUCAUCUCAGCUCUGGAAGGGCAUUAUAACAAUUUUGAUAAAAUAUUAUAGGAGGAUAUUUUCGUAAUUAUAGUUGUAAGGGUAUCAAAGUAAUUUUGAUUUAGUAUUGUUUGAAAGAUAUUUUAGUAAUUAUGUCAAAAGGGGUAUUAUAAUAAGUUUAGUUCAUUAUAGAAAGAAGGUUACCACAAUCAAUUUAAAUACUUGUAAUUCAAUUGUCAAAUAAUCAAAAAAAUAUUAUGAUCAUUUCUUAAAAAAAUUAAGUUCGCAAGUGAUAUUAGCAAUGAUUAGUUUUAAUUAAAAAUUUUAUAUUAUAAAUUAAAAAAAUAAAUUAUGAUGCGAAGCCAUCACAUUCAUUAAUAUAAUUUUCUUAAAAUAUAUCAAAUUAAAAAAAUCAUAUAUUUUUAAUAUUAAUAUUAAGCUAUUCAUAUUUAAAAAGUUAAAAUAUUAAAAAAUUAUUAAAUAUUAAAAAAAUUUAAUAGGAAAAAAAUUAUAAAAAAACCAUAAAAUGACUUAACAUGUCGUAUAUCAUUGGUAUAAAACGAGUCUCACAAAAAAAUUUUAAUAAAAAAUUAUUUAUCAAUUAUGUAAAAAAUAAAAAAGAAAAAGUUAAAAAAAUAAACAUAUUGUAUAUUUUUUAUAGCAAAUGAGUUUUAAAAUAAAAUUAAAACAAAAAUAUAAAUUUUAUUUGAAAAAUUAAAAAUAAAAGAAGAAGUAAAAAAAGUUUGGAAUAAGUGAGUCCAACAAAAUUUUUUUAAAAAUAUAUAUUUUUUAAAAUAUGAAAUAUAAUAAAAAAAAUUUUAAAAUAGGUGAAGAAAAAAACCAAAAAUAAAUUUAAAAAAUAUGGGGCUGCAUUUUUUAAAAAACUUUUAAAAAAUGUGGACCCCAAUAGUUCUAAAACAAAAAUUGGCUGAAAAAAAUCGGGUUACAACAAUAUUUUCUUAAACUUCCCUCACCAUGGGAUGAAUUAAGUUCUCAAAAUUACCUUGUUUAGCUUGAGUUAAAGCUCAAAACUGUUCAUGCUGCAAAUCCCAGUAUAGAACUAUAUGAUACUCUUGGAUGUAGAAUACACUACGUUCAGACUCAGGUAACAGAAUACUGUUUAAAGUAAAAAGCUGCAAAACAGGUAAAAUCCAAACUUUCGUAUAAACAAUGUACAAAGAUUUUGGAAAAUGAAUUUGAAUUUGGUUGCAACAAACCAUCUUUUUCAAAGAAAACUCGUUUUAAGAAAAAACGAAAAUAUUUUUGGAAAAAAUGGAAACCUACAACUUUUAAACCUAAAAAAGGUAAAUUUGUUGUUAAAAAGAAGAAAAAACAAUCUUCUAAACAUACUUGUAAAUGUUUUCUUUGUGAUCAAGAAGGUCACUACGCAACCGCUUGUCCUAACAAAGGAAAAAGUGGGAAGAAAAUGAUCAAAAAACUUGAUGAAAGUUUUCUUCAAAUUUGUUUUACUGAAGAAUUAUCUGAUGAAGAAAUUUAUUAUGAAGUUUUCUCUAAAACUGAUUAUAGUUCUUCUGACGAUGAAUCUCAUUUUAUUUUUAUGUUGAAUACUGAAUCUAACACAGAUAAUGUUUCAGUUUCCUCUUCUACAGGUACAACCACUACCAACGAAAAAGGUAUGGUAAAACUCAAGAAUAUUAUGAGAAAAACUCAUUUUAUUUGUGAUGAUAAAAUUAAAGAAUUACAACUCAUCAAACCAGAUGAGAUUUACAAGACAAGUUGGUUUAAAAAGUUCCAACCUUGGUCUAAAUGCCAUAUAGAAAAACUAUCUGGUGAUACUGUCGCUACUGACACUAAACAAGGCUCAGUAGAAAUCUCUCUUUUUACCAAAAAGAAAAUAAAUAAUUUUCUUUCUAAAUAUCCAAAUGUCAAAUACAUCCAUAUCGGAAUGAUUUUAAUCACCAUUAAACCACUAUUUUUAUCCACAAAGGAUAUUCCUAUAAUAGCUGUUUUAAUGGACCAUCGAUUUCAAAACCCUGCUAAUGCUGUAAUCGGAGGAAUCCAAUCCAAUUUAGCAGCAGGCGUAGUUUUAUUUAAAGUUAAACCAAACUAUUUUAUUUCUAUUUUUGAUGAAAACAUUGAAAAAUGUUUAUGUCUUCGAAUCAAAAUACUCAAUUCUAAUUUCGAAUCGACAUCGCAUGAUCUUUCAAUUAACUGGUCAGCGAUUUAUGAAUUUACAAAUACUACUAAUACCUCUAUCAAACCGAUAAAUUCUAAUAUUAUUGAAAUUUUUGAACCAAACACUUUUGAUUCAGAAAUUAAACCCAGAUUAGUAAAUCUCGCAGACUUAUCAAUCCCAAAAGGAUGGUGUCUCGAAGAUCUUACUAGUACUUCUGAAAAACAGAAAGUUCCAAGUUUAGAAUUUUUCUCAUCCGAAAAAAAUCUUUACUUUAAAAAUCCAAAUGAAUCAACCAAUUUUAAUCCAAACCUGAUUUUACCUCCAGUAAAUGUUUUUGAACAUCAAACAGAUGAUGAUAAUGAGAGUAUAACUAGUAACCAAUCUUUUUGUACUCCAUAUCGAAGUUCUUUUUCAGGAUUUCAUGGUACCAACAGUACAGAAACCCUACGAUGAGCAAAUAGUAUGUGCCAAUCAGGUAAUACAGAAUCUGCUCAAAUUCUUAUUUUUGUCGGAGAUAAUCUAUCUCAGCAAGGUACAGUCAAUAAUCAAACCCAUUAUCAUUAUGUUAAUUCUGUGAUUAACUCACAUACUUCUUCUUAUUCUAGAAAACCUAGACAUGAAGAUACAAAAAUGUUUCAUUCUAUAAAUAAUUUUCGCAUCUCUAAAGAAAUAAUAUCUUUUGCUAACAAAGUAAGAUAUUAUACUUAUGUUGAAGGUUAUUUUUAUUUUCAAAACUAUAAACACUAUAGUUUGAAUAUUUUGAUUGACACAGGAGCAACAAUCUCUAGCUGUCGACCUAAUGCUUUGCCGUCAACCAAAUGGCAACCUAUGAAGCAUCCUAUAAUAAUAGUCGGUAUCGAUGGUAAAGAAACCAUUGUUAACCUGAAGGCAAAAAAUAUACCUAUUGCCUUAAACGAUAUAAAAUUCGUUAUACCUAAAAUAUUAUGUUUUUCCAAUAUGCAUGGAGACAUGUUAUUAGGAAAUAAUUUCGUACAUAAAUAUUUACCCUUUUCAGUUUUUUUUUAUUAUCUUGUUUUUACUAUUGACAAAAAAUCAAUAGAUGUUCCUUUAUUAUCCAAGCACAAUCAUGUUUGUGAUAAUGGUUUUCAACCAGAAAUAACACAUAUUUCUGAACUUAAAGCUAUUAAUGAAAAACAUUGGCUUUAUAGAAUUUUGCAAGAAAACUUCAGUGAAGACCCAUUGAAGCUUUGGAAGCGCAAUCCAAGAUACUGUGAACUUACUCUACAAUCUCCAAAAGAGAUUAUUCGAGUAAAACCAAUGAUCUAUACCAAACAUGAUAUAGAUGAAUUUAAAGUUCAAAUUUCAGAAUUGCUCGACAAAGGUCUGAUAGAACCUACUACCAAUCCACACUACAGUCCAGUAUUUUUGGUAAGAAACCAUUCUGAGAUUAAACGAGGUAAACCCCGUAUGGUUAUUAAUUACAAGAAAUUAAACCAAAAUCUUGUUUUUGAUGGCUAUUUUAUCUCUCGAAAAGAUGUUUUAAUUAAUUUAGCAAAAAAUGCUAAAUACUUUUCUAAAUUUGAUUGUAAGUCAAGUUUUUGGCAAAUCAUGCUUAAUGAAACCUCUAAACCUCUUACUGCUUUUAGUGCACCAACAGGCCAUUACCAAUGGACUGUUAUGCCUUUCGGUUUAUGCAACGCUCCUCAAAUAUUUCAGCGUUGGAUGGAUAAUAUUUUCAGCAAACAUAAACAAUUUUGCUGUGUAUAUAUUGAUGAUAUUUUGAUAUUUUUCAAUACUUUAGAUGAGCACAGGAAACACCUGAAUCUUAUUGCUCAAGAAUUUAUUUUACACGGUAUUAUUUUAAGUCCCAAAAAGGUUGAACUUGAAAAAACCGAAAUUGAAUUUCUUGGUCUUAAUCUUUCUGCCAACGGACUAACCCUACAGGAUCACAUUAUUUCCAAGAUCAGAGACUUUCCAGAAGCCCUGGAUAAUGUCAAACAGCUACAGCAGCUGUUAGGUAUACUUAAUUAUGGCAGACAAUUUUUCAAAAACCUUUCCAAAAAGGAAAGCUAUCUUUUGCGUAAAUUACGUAAAGAUAAUGAUUUUGUCUGGACACAUAACGAUUAUGAUAUUGUCAAACAAAUCAAAUCAGAUUUAACCACUAUACCUAAGGUCUAUUUACCUAAACAAGGUGAUCUAUUAAUUUUAGAGACAGAUGCCAGUGAUAAACAUUGGGGAUGUGUCUUAAAAGCUAAAAAUCUACAUCAAAAAGAUGAAUUGAUUUGUGGAUAUAAUUCUGGUAAGUUCAAACCGAACGAAAUAAAUUAUAUUAUUUUUGAAAAAGAAUUAUUAGCCAUAAAAAAUGGUGUACAGCGAUUCCACAUCUAUUUAGCCCCGGAGUUCUUUGUUAUCCGAACAGAUAACCAAGCAGUCAAAAACUUUCUCCAAAAUAGAAAGCUUUCUGAUAAUCCCAGGCGAAUUAGGUGGUACAAUUUUCUUUGUUCUUAUCAUUUUCAGGUAGAAGUUCAUCAACGGAGAUAAAAAUCUCAUUGCAAGACCUUCCUAAGUAAGACCUCAUGAUCGAGGAAAACACCCAAUCCUUUGAUACUAAUGGAUGAAGAACUGUCAAGAAGAAACCCAGGUAAAAAUCCUCUUUUCUUCUUUUCUUCUAUUCCCUUCUUCUCCAAGACCCCAUAUCUCUAACAAUCCUAACCAAAGAUUUAACUUUUUACACUAAUCCUAACCAAGGAUUAUAUCUCUACCAACAACCUCUUUAUCGACCCCCUUUUCAUGAGAAUUCAACCAGAAUACUCACAGUUUGCUUAAGAUCCAACACGACUGGACUCCUAUGAGUUACUUCUCAAAUUUUCUUCCACAGAACAACUGGUUAUAAAAACAAAUUCUUCUAACCCAGAGAUAAAAGAUUUUUUACAAUCCAGGACUUGAACCUCAAGUCUAUAAUCUGUUAAACAAAGUUAGAAUCCCAUCUCUCAGAAAACAAAACUAGCUUUCGAAAAGGAUGACCAACUUAGCUGAGUUCUUAGUCAAACAGGCUAAAGAAUUCAAAAUUUAAAGAAAUAGCUUCCAAAUCGUCUAUCAACAAAUCUGUUAAAACAGCAAAUAUUGAUUUCUUUGCUUGGAAGAAAAUCAGUACAGUCUUCAAGGAAUAAACAAUUUCUUGAAUUAUGUGAAUAUUUUUGAGAAAAGAUAAUUUAUUUCUUCUAAGCUAAAAAGCUUAAAAGAAUUCUUCUCUUUAAAAACUGCGGUAUUCUUAACCCCAGAAUUAUUCCAGCAAAUUAAUUCUUUUAUUUACAGUCAACAAAAUAUUGUGGUUGAAAAGUUUUCAGUAUUAUACCUCAACUUACAUGUAUAAUAUAUCUUUUGGUGAAUAUAUACCUAAACUAAAGUUUCGACUUGACCACGAAAGUUUUGAUAUAAAAAGUAUUGAACUUGGUUUAGUUGGACGAAUAACUAUACAAAAUUAUUCUUUCCAUCUUUUAAAAGACUUUCUAGCUUUUAUAAAGCAACGCUUUUUUGAAUGUAUCAAAUGGUCAAAACACCUUUUUUACGUUCAUUUUACUAUAUAUAGUUUUUGGGUACCUUUCAACGAGAAAGAUUUUACUAACCCUACCAAAUAUGGGAAUUUGAUACCGUAUCUGCUGGACACUUUCUUCAACCUUAUGAUAUACUUGAUCCACCCACAGAUCACAUCGAAUUCUCUUAUGAUUUAAACAAAAUCAUCUCUAAAUAUACCAACCCAAACUCCUAUCACUUCCAAACCAGAACUGACCUUAUGGAUAAAGCAAAAUUUUUUUUUCCAUUUAGCCACCAAACAAGACUAUCCAAAAAUAGCCUGUUGGACUGAUGGCAGACGCAUUUUUGUAAAAAUAUUCAUUGAACCCCAUGAAGAUCUUGACAUCGAAAAUGCACCAGAAGUAAUAGAGCUUUUGGAUAAACUAUCUAAAAUGAAAGAUCUGGAUCAUCCAACUGAUCUCCUAUACCAGUAUCAAGAAGGAUGAGAACUGUGAAACAAAUCACAUUCAGACUCUCCACACUCACCCCAGUCCCUUAAUGAAUUGGAUGAAGAAUUCCAUAACCAACCAAUGCUAUGAAAGGAUAAACUGUGCAAAUUCUAAUCCAGAAUAAGCCAGAACAAACCGCUGACACAAAAAGAUAAAACUACAUUCGACGCUUACGACUAGCAGACAGAAAACAUUGUAGCAAUCACUGUAGCAGUUACUGUAGCAUAAAAAGAUAGAGACCUACUAUGGAAGACACUGUAGCAAGUCACUGUAGUGAUACUGUAGAUAAAAAUCUACUGUACACUGUAGCGGGCAACUGUACAAAUUACUAUUCAUAGGAUAGAAUUUUUCUAUUUAAGAGGGUUCAUUGUUAAGUUUUAGGCAGAACUUCCAGUAGUCUAAUUCUUCACACUUUCUCUCUUAUACUUUCUCUCUCAUUUUCUUUUGUCUUUUAAGUCAUAUAUAGAUAUAUAAAUAUAGCUUUCGUAAUCCUUUAUACAUUCGGCGUCUACGACUAGCAGACAGAAAACACUAUAGCAGUCACUGUAGCAGAAGAUAAAACGUCACUGUAGCAGUCACUGUAGCAAAAAAAGACAGAGACCUAUUACGGAAGACACUGUAACAAGUCACUGUAACGGUACUGUAGAUAAAAAAUCUACUGUACACUGUAACGAUCAACUGUACAGAUUACUAUUCAUAGGAUAGAAUUUUUCUAUUUAAGGAGGUUCAUUGUUAAGUUUUAGGCAGAACUUCCAGUAGUCCAAUUCUUCACACUUUCUCUCUUAUACUUUCUCUCUCAUUUCUUUUUGUCUUCUAAGUCAUAUAUAGAUAUAUAAAUAUAGCUUUCGUAAUCUUUUAUACAUAGAUCUUUUCCGAUAAUAGUAAAAAGCAUAACUGUAGCAUUUAGAACUAGAAAAACUAACCACGCCCAAGUUACAAAUUUUUUAUUUUGACGAAAUAUAAAUUAAUUAAUUUUUUAUUUACUAAUAAAAAAUAAAUAUUUUUUAGUAUUUUGUCGCUGUUUUUAGAAUUAUAGUAAAAGAGAUAUCAUAUGAAGCAAUCAAAAAAAUAAUUUUUAUAGUCGUGGUUAUAAUCAAAAAAUAAUUAAAAAGCAUUUUAAUAAUUUAAAUCAAUUAUAAUAUGAAAAAUAUUUUUAUAAUUAUGAUAAGAUGGUAUUUUCAUAAUUAUGAUUAGAAAGUAUUAAAGUAAUUUUGACAAAUCAUAAUAUAAAAAUUAUUUUUGUAAUUAUGAUAGAAGGAUAUUUUCAUAAUUAUGGUUAUAAUGACAUUAGAGUAACAUUGGUUAAUUAUGAUAAGAAGGGUAUUUCCAUAAUUAUGUUAAGAGGGUUUAAGAUUUUGAGUUUACGGUUUUAUUUAAUUAUGCUUACAAAGUAUUAUAGUAAUUUUCACCAAUUAUAAUAUGAGAGUCUAUUUUCGUAAUUAUAAGUGGAGAAACAUUAUAUGAAGCAAUAAAAAAUAGGUUUUUUGUAAUUAUGAUUAAAGAGUACUAUAAUUAUUUUAGUUAAUUAUAAUAUGAGUAAUAUUUUUUGUAAUUUUGUUGAGAAAGCUUUUUUUUUAAUUAUGAUUAAAUGGUAUUAUAGUAAUUUUGGUAAAUUAUAAUAUAAGAUAUAUUUUCAUAAAUAUGAUAGGAAGAACAUUAUAGUCAUUUUAGCAAGUGAUGAUAAGAGGAUAUUUUCAUAAUUAUAGUUGUAGAGGCAUCUGUAAUACUUUAGCCCAAAUGAUAAUUAGGCUAAACUACUACUAAAGCCCAUUAAAUUAAUUAAAAGGUUAAUUAUUAAAGAUAAAGUGACUGAAGUGUUUUACUAGAGAAAAAUCUAGUUAUCGUGAAAUAGAAAAGCUAAUGGGAAUUCUUUUUCCUAAUCUUUCUUAAAAUUAGAGAGCAUGAAAAAUUAGGUACAGGAUCCAAAAUUGAAGACUACAAUUGAGUUAAUCUCUUAAUGGUGAGCAUAUGCCUUCUUUUUGUUUAAGAAAAAUAUACCAUUUUGGUUGCUAUUUUAUGGAGUUACAGUUUUGAGAGAAAAAUCAAGAAAAUUAUAAAAUCUUUCAUUAAUCUUCAUAAUCUAUUUAGGUAAAUUAUUGGGCUUUAUUUUAUUUCAUGUUCUUAAGAUUUAUUGAUGAUUAUUGAAUAGAGUUUAAAAACUGAAACUAGGGAUUUGAUUUUUUAAAAAUUGAAAGAGAAAUUUUGUUUUUGAAUGAGAUGCUAUGAUCUAUAAUAGUGAAUAAAAUAAAGUUUUGUAUUAAUGGAUGGACUAUUGCUAUGAUUAUUAUAUAUCAUUGAAAAGUGUAUUGAAUCUAUUUUCUAAUGAAAUAAACGGAAGUCAAAUCUGAGUUUUUUAUGAAAAGUUGUCUAAUUUUUACUUAAGAUAUACAAGCUAUAUGAUGGCAUCAUCAGGUUAAAUGUACGAAAAUUGUCUGUAAAUUUUUAUACAAAGGAAGUAGGAAUUGAGCUAUAAUAUGUUUGAAAAGAUUAUUUAGUCUAAUUUCUAACAAAAUAAGUGGAAUUGGAAUUUAGAGUCUCUUAUGAAUAAAUAUGUAAUUGUUAUUAGAAGGUAUACAUAUUAUCUUGAAGCAACAUAUAAUGCGGAUUGCAAAAUUUAUUAUAAUUAAUCUAUAAAGAAUUAUGAGGUGAGCCAUAUAUGGUUAGAAAUCUUAUCAAGUCGAGUUUCUAACGCCAUUAAAGAGAUCUUAAUUUGAUUUAGAUAUAUUGAAAUAUGGCCAUUUUAAUGAAAAAAAGGUCCAGCUAUUAGUACUAGUUAAUUGAGUUAAUUCUUGAAUAACUUAAUUGUUUUUUGUAUCAUUGGUUUCGAAAUGGGUUGAUUAAUUUCUAUUAUGUUGAAAUUAUCUUGAAUAAGCCAUUAAUUAUUUUGAAAAAAAAAAAAACUAAGUAGUACAAUCAUAAGAAGGUAAGUAGAAUCUUACACAUUUUGCUUAUUUUUUGAACCUAUGUAUAUAUGUAUAUUUCUAAAUGAGUAUAUGUUUUAUUUUAUUAUUUUUUAUAUAUGAAAAUAAGACCAAGGAUAUGAUUAUUUUGUGUUUUUGCUAUAUAAAUGAUGGGUCAUGCUUAUGAAUGAAAUGAAAAAAAUGAUUUAUGUUUAAGAAACGAUUUUAUGAUAGUUACGUUUUUACAUCCAUGAGAAGUGAGAUCAUCGAUACCAAAACUACUUUAACGGCCUUGGUUAAUAGGUAAUAAUAGUUAGCAUAGACAUGAUCAUACGACCCUACUAACGGGUUAUAGUAGUUAGCGUAAGGCCUUGGCUAACGGGUUAUAAUAGUUAAUAAUGAUCAUAAGAAUGAAAUUAUCGAUACCGCCAAUGUCACGAGUUAUAGCAGUGAUCAUAGCUAACGAUAAAUUAACAAUGAACUAAUGAUUAUGAUAAUGAUGGUUUAUGAUGAUUUUAGUGAUUGAUUCAUGAUUUGAUUUAAUUAUGAUAUUUGAAUGACAGCAUAUUUUGUAAUGAUUUAUUAAUUAACAUGUUUUGAUAUUUAUUUAUGAUUUAUGAAAUGUUUGACAUAAUGAUGAUUUUAAAAAUAUUUUGACAUUAUGAUUUGACGAAUGUUUUAAAUGAUUUAUAUAAUUUGUAUAAAAAUGAUACUUGAUCCGGUAAGGUGUGUGAGUCUAUAUUUGUUGAGUUGUGGUUUGCUCAUUCCCCUUUUACUUUUUUUUUACAGAUGAGUAAGUAAUAAGUAUGAUUAGUCUUGUAAAAAGCUAGAAGAUCAAAUGAAAAAGAUUACUUAGCCGUCAGAGACAAUAUUGGUCAAUGAGAUCUUAUGAAAUAAUUUUGUAUUUUUUUAUGAUUUGUAUUUGGAUAUAUAGAAAUGUAUCAUUAGUUAAAUUAAAUAUAUGAAUUUUACUUGACAGAUUAUAUCAAUUUAUUCAAAAAAAAAGAUUUCAUAUUACUUUGAAGUUUUGCUUCAAGGUAAUAUGAUUGUAUUACAUCUUAAUCUCGGGACGUGAUAGCAUCAUAAUAAUUUUGCUUAAUUAUGGUAAAAAGAGUAUUUUAAUAAUUAUGUCAAAAGAGGUAUUCUAAUAAAUUUUGUUAAUUAUAGAAAGAAAUAUUUCACAAUCAAUUUAAAUGUAAGUAAUAUAAUAGUCAAAUAAUUAAAAAGAUAUAAUGAUCAUUUCAACGGAAAUUGAGUUCGUACCUAACAUCAACAAUGUUGAGUUUUUAUCAAAAAUUUAUAUUAUGAAUUAAAAAAUAAAAAAAAAUCAAAUUCGUUACGAAGCCAACCCAUCCAUUAAUAUAAUUUUCUUAAAAUAUGAUUAAAUUAAAUAAAUAAAAAAAUAUUCUUUUAAUAAUAAUAUGAAGCGAUCCAUAUUAAAAAGUCAAAAUAUUAAAAUCUAUUAAAUAUUAAAAAAAUAAUAAAAAAUAAAAAAAUAAAAUGACUACACAUGUUUUAUAUUAUUGAUAUAAAGUGAGCUCACAAAAAAAUUUAAAAUAAAAAAUAUUUAUCAAUUAAGUAGAAAAUUAAAAAUAAAAAAAAAAACAUGUUGUGUAUUUCUAAUAACAAAUGAGUUUCAAAAUAAAAUUAAAAUGAAAAAAUAAAUUUUGUUUGAAAAAAAUUAAAAAAGGAAAAGUUUUUAAAAGAUAGUAUAAGUCACUCACAUAAAAAAGUUUUUUAAAAAAUAUAUUUUAAAAUAUCGUAAAUAAUAAAAAAGAAAAAAAUUUAAAAAAAUGGGUGAAAAAAAUCAAAAGAUAAAUUUAAAAAAUAUCGAUCCUAUACCUUUUUAAAAAUAAAAUUAAAAAGAGGGCCACCAAUUGAAAAACAAAAAAACAAUGGUUAAAAAAUCGAGUCCUACACCUGCAAAAACCAAAAAAAAAUGUGGGCUCCACACCCAUUUAAAAAAGUUCAAAAAAAAAAAAAAAACAGGUGAGGAUUACGAUAAGAAAGAAGAAAAAAACUAAAGAAAAAAUGAAAUGACACGUGAAAUGCACAGUACAAAUAAAAUUGCAGCAUUUUUACGUUAGCAGCAGGAUGGAAUAAAUGGAAAAUAAAUUCUGAUACCCUACCGGAUGAGAAUGAGAUGAUCCCUCUUAUGAGUUCUUACAAGAUAAAAAGAAAUAAUUUAUUUCUCUUGAAUUUGUAUAUAAAUUUUUUCCAUGAUAUACACAUCAGAAUUUUUUCAAUCUUGGGAAAUUACUUAAACACUUCUCAAAUCUUCUUUCCAUUUUUUUUUUUUAAUCCAAAGAAGCAGAGCAACCAAGGUAGGCAAUAUUGCCUCAAGCGCUUGCAAACAAAAACUAAUCUUGGCUUUAGAUCCCUGUACAACUAAGAUUUUUUUUUGGCUUAAAUUUUUGUUUUCAAGAAAUUAGAAUUUAGUUUUAUUAAUUUAUGUAAUUAUUUUUAAAAAAUAAUGCUUAAUAAUUUAAAAUUUAAAUCUUAAUUCUUAUAAAAUUUUAUUUUAUCAUAAAUUCAUGUUUUGAAAAGCAUCAUGUGGGUACUAUUGUGACUGCUAUGUGAUUAUGUGACAUACGCAACAUGUGAAAUUUUACUGAAAAGCAACAUGUUUAAGUCAUUGUAAUUAAUACGUCAUUUGUAUUUUUUUAAAUCCAUUUUGAAGUCGAACUUAUCUUCAAGGAAAGAGGUAUUUCAAUACUCAAGAGAAAGUCUUUGCAGAACUCCAUCCGGCACCGGAGAAAAUGGCAUCUGAAACCUCAGUGGAUUAUGACAGAACUAAAGAGUUGAAGGAAUUUGAUGACACAAAAGCUGGUGUUAAAGGACUUGUAGAUGCUGGCAUAGUUAGCAUCCCCAGGAUGUUCAUACGACCAGCUGAGGAGCUUGCUGUUGAGGAACUGAAUUCCUGCCAGACAAACAUUAAAGUUCCGAUCAUAGAUCUAAGC